AAUGAUACUCUUACGUUCGGCGUAACUCGCAAUUGUGUAGGCGAGAUAUAGGGCUUCCGACUGGAACUUAUGUCGGUUGAUCUAUAU
rnacentral:sRNA from 1 species